ensembl:lncRNA
CCGCAGCAAUGGAGAUAUGUUCCAACAAAGGAUAAUCCUGCGGAUCAUGUCUCAAGGGGUCUCACUGUGGAUGAAUUGAUCUCGUCUAACUGGUUCACAGGGCCAGGGUUCUUGUGGAAUAAGGAAAUUGCCCUUUCACCUAGUGAAGUUCCAGAAUUACAAUUAAGGGACUCUGAAGUCAGAAGUUUUCAAACGCUUAACACAAAGGUUGUGGAGCAGGGAAGUAUUGUAAAUCGCUUGUGCAAGUUUUCAUCUUGGUCUCAUGUGGUCCGAGCAAUUGCACGCAUUCAACGACGAAUUAACAAGGAUAAAUCAAGUGGUCUUUCUACAGUUGAGGAGAGAGAAAGUGCAGAGUGCCUAAUAGUGAAACUCUUACAAAAACAUGUGUUCCACACCGAACUGAAAGUGUUAAGUAAAGGUGCCCAGUUGUCAUCUCGUAAUGAAUUGUACAACCUCAACCCAUUUCUUGACAGCGAUGGUGUGCUUAAGGUGGGAGGACGACUAAGUAACUCUUCUCUUUGUCAUUCACUUAAACAUCCUGUAAUUAUUCCCAAAACCCAUCAUAUUACAAGGUUGAUCAUAGCUGAUUGCCAUGAAAAAGUCAAGCAUCAAGGUAAAGGGUUUACCAUCAAUGAAAUCCGUUCAAAGGGUUUUUGGAUCCCUGGCAUUAAUCGUGCUGUAGCAUCUUAUGUGCAUAAUUGUGUCACCUGUAGAAAACAUAGACGACCAGUGGAAGAGCAAAGGAUGGCUGACUUGCCUUCAGAGAGAGUGAAUCCCUCGCCCCCAUUUACUUACUGUGGUAUGGACUGUUUUGGUCCAUUUUCUGUGAAACAAGGACGAAAGGUGUAUAAAAGAUAUGGAUUGAUCUUUACCUGUCUGUCUUCCCGUGCCAUUCACGUUGAAAUGAUUGAUUCUUUGUCAACGGAUUCUUUUAUUAAUGGCUUGCGUUGUUUUAUUGCUUUACGUGGAGCAGUUCGGCAGAUUAGAUCUGAUCAAGGAAGUAACUUUGUGGGUGCAAAGAAUGAGUUAACUGCAGCCCUCAAAGAACUUGACGUUGAGAAACUGAAUUAUUUCCUAGUUGAGAAUCAGUGUGAUUUCGUAUUGAACGCACCAGGUGCAAGUCAUGCAGGAGGUGUAUGGGAACGACAGAUUAGGACGGUUAGAAGUGUUCUUCAGUCUACACUUUUGAUGGCUUCAGAACGAAUUGAUGAUUCUUCUUUACGAUCAUUCCUUUACGAAGCAAUGUCAAUUGUAAACAGUCGUCCACUCACUGUCGACAAUUUAAGUGAUCCAAAUAGUCUUGAACCAAUAACACCAAAUCAUUUUUCUUACAAUGAAAUCCACUAUUGCUUUACCACCUCCAGGCAAGUUCACUAGAGAAGAUCUAUAUGCCAGGAAAAGAUGGCGCCAUGUCCAAUAUCUUGCUGAACAAUUUUGGAGUCGCUGGCGCAAAGAAUAUCUUUCUAAUAUUUCUGUUAGACAGCGCUGGCAUACCCCUAGGAGAAAUCUGUUAGUAGGAGAUAUAGUGAUUGUCAAGGACAGUGAUCUACCCAGGCAUAAAUGGUCUUUAGGUAGGGUUGUAGAAACUACCAUAGAUUCAGAUGGACUUGUGAGGAGAGUUCGGGUACAUCUUGGUGAUAAAAAUUUGGAGAAAAAUCUACAAGGUCUUAGUAAGCCUUCUGUGAUUGAACGUCCAGUCCAGAAGUUGGUUUUACUGUUGGAGGCUUGUUAAUUCCUAUUCUUUUUGUUUUGCUUGAUUUUUGUUGUUGUUUUUCUCAACUAUGUAUUUUUUUAUAUGCAUUGUAUUGUGGGUCAUGGUAUUUUUGAAAUCAUUUGUGUAUUGUGACUCAUGAUUUGGUGGGAGUGUAACGGACUGGCAAUUGUUAACCAGAUAUAUGAAGUCUGUAUUGCAUUGACCCUUUUUUUUUGUACAGAGCAGCUAAAGGACUUUUAUUAUGAAAUUAACUUAAUGCGCAAAUUGGACCUGUAUAAAGAGCGACACAUUUCCGCUGUUUGUGUGUGUGCGCUUUGUGAAGGACGCAGCCUGCAGUUUGACGUCUUUUUCUUCCUUUUAUUGUACUUGUGCGUCUCACUGAAAAGGGAAAUAAGUUCUUACGGUGUCUACUUGAAUGUCAACGUAUUAAACAUUUUUGGAAACAUCAGUUAAGGAGCAAAAGACCAUCAUUUCAGUGGGGUAGCAACAA